UGUGUGUGUGUGUGUGUAUGUAUGUAUGUAUGUAUAUAUAUAUAUAUAUAUAUAUACAUACACACACACACACAAU